UACGGAGGGUGCAAGCGUUAAUCGGAAUUACUGGGCGUAAAGCGCACGCAGGCGGUUUGUCAAGUCGGAUGUGAAAUCCCCGGGCUUAACCUGGGAACUGCAUUCGAAACUGGCAAGCUAGAGUCUCGUAGAGGAGGGUAGAAUUCCAGGUGUAGCGGUGAAAUGCGUAGAGAUCUGGAGGAAUACCGGUGGCGAAGGCGGCCCCCUGGACGAAGACUGACGCUCAGGCGCGAAAGCGUGGGGAGCAAACAGG
rnacentral:rRNA from 1 species